UAAGUCCCGCAACGAGCGCAACCCUUAUCCUUUGUUGCCAGCGGUCCGGCCGGGAACUCAAAGGAGACUGCCAGUGAUAAACUGGAGGAAGGUGGGGAUGACGUCAAGUCAUCAUGGCCCUUACGACCAGGGCUACACACGUGCUACAAUGGCGCAUACAAAGAGAAGCGACCUCGCGAGAGCAAGCGGACCUCAUAAAGUGCGUCGUAGUCCGGAUUGGAGUCUGCAACUCGACUCCAUGAAGUCGGAAUCGCUAGUAAUCGUGGAUCAGAAUGCCACGGUGAAUACGUUCCCGGGCCUUGUACACACCGCCCGUCACACCAUGGGAGUGGGUUGCAAAAGAAGUAGGUAGCUUAACCUUCGGGAGGGCGCUUACCACUUUGUGAUUCAUGACUGGGGUGAAGUCGUAACAAGGUAACCGUAGGGGAACCUGCGGUUGGAUCAC
rnacentral:rRNA from 1 species